rnacentral:rRNA from 1 species
UGAGUAACCUGCCCUUAACCCUGGGAUAAGCCUGGGAAACUGGGUCUAAUACCGGAUAUGACUCCUCAUCGCAUGGUGGGGGGUGGAAAGCUUUAUUGUGGUUUUGGAUGGACUCGCGGCCUAUCAGCUUGUUGGUGAGGUAAUGGCUCACCAAGGCGACGACGGGUAGCCGGCCUGAGAGGGUGACCGGCCACACUGGGACUGAGACACGGCCCAGACUCCUACGGGAGGCAG